rnacentral:rRNA from 1 species
UACGUAGGGGCUAGCGUUAUCCGGAAUUACUGGGCGUAAAGGGUGCGUAGGUGGUUUCUUAAGUCAGAGGUGAAAGGCUACGGCUCAACCGUAGUAAGCCUUUGAAACUGGGAAACUUGAGUGCAGGAGAGGAGAGUGGAAUUCCUAGUGUAGUGGUGAAAUGCGUAGAUAUUAGGAGGAACACCAGUUGCGAAGGCGGCUCUCUGGACUGUAACUGACACUGAGGCACGAAAGCGUGGGGAGCAAACAGGAUUAGAUACCCCUGUAGUCCCUGAG